UUGUAACUUAGUUUAUUUAGAACAAUCAGUUUGCACCCGAUAAGAGAGACUUUCUCAGUAGC
rnacentral:tRNA from 1 species